GAUGAACGCUGGCGGCGUGCCUAAUACAUGCAGGUCGAGCGAACGGACGAGAAGCUUGCUUCUCUGAUGUUAGCGGCGGACGGGUGAGUAACACGUGGAUAACCUACCUAUAAGACUGGGAUAACUUCGGGAAACCGGAGCUAAUACCGGAUAAUAUUUUGAACCGCAUGGUUCAAAAGUGAAAGACGGUCUUGCUGUCACUUAUAGAUGGAUCCGCGCUGCAUUAGCUAGUUGGUAAGGUAACGGCUUACCAAGGCAACGAUGCAUAGCCGACCUGAGAGGGUGAUCGGCCACACUGGAACUGAGACACGGUCCAGACUCCUACGGGAGGCAGCAGUAGGGAAUCUUCCGCAAUGGGCGAAAGCCUGACGGAGCAACGCCGCGUGAGUGAUGAAGGUCUUCGGAUCGUAAAACUCUGUUAUUAGAGAAGAACAUAUGUGUAAGUAACUGUGCACAUCUUGACGGUACCUAAUCAGAAAGCCACGGCUAACUACGCGCCAGCAGCCGCGGUAAUACGUAGGUGGCAAGCGUUAUCCGGAAUUAUUGGGCGUAAAGCGCGCGUAGGCGGUUUUUUAAGUCUGAUGUGAAAGCCCACGGCUCAACCGUGGAGGGUCAUUGGAAACUGGAAAACUUGAGUGCAGAAGAGGAAAGUGGAAUUCCAUGUGUAGCGGUGAAAUGCGCAGAGAUAUGGAGGAACACCAGUGGCGAAGGCGACUUUCUGGUCUGUAACUGACGCUGAUGUGCGAAAGCGUGGGGAUCAAACAGGAUUAGAUACCCUGGUAGUCCACGCCGUAAACGAUGAGUGCUAAGUGUUAGGGGGUUUCCGCCCCUUAGUGCUGCAGCUAACGCAUUAAGCACUCCGCCUGGGGAGUACGACCGCAAGGUUGAAACUCAAAGGAAUUGACGGGGACCCGCACAAGCGGUGGAGCAUGUGGUUUAAUUCGAAGCAACGCGAAGAACCUUACCAAAUCUUGACAUCCUUUGACAACUCUAGAGAUAGAGCUUUCCCCUUCGGGGGACAAAGUGACAGGUGGUGCAUGGUUGUCGUCAGCUCGUGUCGUGAGAUGUUGGGUUAAGUCCCGCAACGAGCGCAACCCUUAAGCUUAGUUGCCAUCAUUAAGUUGGGCACUCUAAGUUGACUGCCGGUGACAAACCGGAGGAAGGUGGGAUGACGUCAAAUCAUCAUGCCCCUUAUGAUUUGGGCUACACACGUGCUACAAUGGACAAUACAAAGGGCAGCGAAACCGUGAGGUCAAGCAAAUCCCAUAAAGUUGUUCUCAGUUCGGAUUGUAGUCUGCAACUCGACUACAUGAAGCUGGAAUCGCUAGUAAUCGUAGAUCAGCAUGCUACGGUGAAUACGUUCCCGGGUCU
rnacentral:rRNA from 1 species